GAUGAACGCUAGCGGCAGGCUUAACACAUGCAAGUCGAGGGGUAUAGUUCUUUGGAACUAGAGACCGGCGCACGGGUGCGUAACGCGUAUGCAAUCUACCUUUUGCAGAGGGAUAGCCCAGAGAAAUUUGGAUUAAUACCUCAUAGUAUGUGAGAAUGGCAUCAUUUUCACAUUAAAGUCACAACGGCAAAAGAUGAGCAUGCGUCCCAUUAGCUUGUUGGUAAGGUAACGGCUUACCAAGGCAACGAUGGGUAGGGGUCCUGAGAGGGAGAUCCCCCACACUGGUACUGAGACACGGACCAGACUCCUACGGGAGGCAGCAGUGAGGGAUAUUGGACAAUGGGCGCAAGCCUGAUCCAGCCAUGCCGCGUGCAGGAUGACGGUCCUAUGGAUUGUAAACUGCUUGUGUACAGGAAGAAACACUGGUUCGUGAACCAGCUUGGCGGUACUGUAAGAAUAAGGAUCGGCUAACUCCGUGCCAGCCGCCGCCGUAAGAC
rnacentral:rRNA from 1 species